rnacentral:rRNA from 1 species
CCUACGGGUGGCUGCAGUGGGGAAUAUUGGACAAUGGGCGAAAGCCUGAUCCAGCCAUGCCGCGUGUGUGAAGAAGGCCUUCGGGUUGUAAAGCACUUUCAGUGGGGAAGAAAGCCUUGGGGCUAAUACCCUCGAGGAAGGACAUCACCCACAGAAGAAGCACCGGCUAACUCCGUGCCAGCAGCCGCGGUAAUACGGAGGGUGCGAGCGUUAAUCGGAAUUACUGGGCGUAAAGCGCGCGUAGGCGGUCUGAUAAGCCGGUUGUGAAAGCCCCGGGCUCAACCUGGGAACGGCAUCCGGAACUGUCAGGCUAGAGUGCAGGAGAGGAAGGUAGAAUUCCCGGUGUAGCGGUGAAAUGCGUAGAGAUCGGGAGGAAUACCAGUGGCGAAGGCGGCCUUCUGGACUGACACUGACGCUGAGGUGCGAAAGCGUGGGUAGCAAACAGGAUUUGAUACCCCUGUAGUC